rnacentral:rRNA from 1 species
AGUGAACGCUGGCGGCAGGCCUAACACAUGCAAGUCGAACGGCAGCACAAGAGAGCUUGCUCUCUGGGUGGCGAGUGGCGGACGGGUGAGGAAUGCAUCGGAAUCUGCCCAUUUGUGGGGAUAACCUCGGGAAACCGGGACUAAUACCGCAUACGACCUACGGGUGAAAGCAGGGGAUCUUCGGACCUUGCGCAGAUGGAUGAGCCGAUGCCGGAUUAGCUAGUUGGAGGGGUAAAGGCCCACCAAGGCGACGAUCCGUAGCUGGUCUGAGAGGAUGAUCAGCCACACUGGGACUGAGACACGGCCCAGACUCCUACGGGAGGCAGCAGUGGGGAAUAUUGGACAAUGGGCGCAAGCCUGAUCCAGCCAUGCCGCGUGUGUGAAGAAGGCCUUCGGGUUGUAAAGCACUUUUGUUGGGAAAGAAAAGCAGCCGGUUAAUACCCGGUUGUCAUGACGGUACCCAAAGAAUAAGCACCGGCUAACUUCGUG